rnacentral:rRNA from 1 species
UACGAAGGGGGGCUAGCGUUGCUCGGAAUCACUGGGCGUAAAGCGCACGUAGGCGGACUCUUAAGUCAGGGGGUGAAAUCCUGGAGCUCAACUCCAGAACUGCCUUUGAUACUGGAUGGCUUGAGAUUGGGAGAGGGAUGCGGAAUUCCAGGUGUAGCGGUGAAAUGCGUAGAUAUCUGGAGGAACACCGGUGGCGAAGGCGGCCAUCUGGACGGAUACUGACGCUGAGACGCGAAAGCGUGGGUAGCAAACAGG